rnacentral:miRNA from 1 species
UGCGUCCAAAAGAUCGUCCUU